rnacentral:rRNA from 1 species
CUUAAAGGAAGUUGACGGGGCCCGCGACAAGCGGUGGAGUAUGUGGUUAAUUCGAUGCAACGCGAAGAACCUUACCUGGUCUUGACAUCCCGGAGACCCUUAGGAAACUAGGGGUGCUUCCAUCUGGAAGAAUCUGGAGACAGGUGCUGCAUGGCUGUCGUCAGCUCGUGUCGUGAGAUGUUGGGUUAAGUCCCGCAACGAGCGCAACCCUUGCCUUUAGUUGCCAGCAGUUCGGCUGGGCACUCUAAAGGGACUGCCGGUGUUAAACCGGAGGAAGGUGGGGAUGACGUCAAGUCCUCAUGGCCUUUAUGACCAGGGCUACACACGUACUACAAUGGCCGAUACAAAGGGCAGCGACACUGCGAGGUGAAGCCAAUCCCGUAAAAUCGGUCUUAGUCCGGAUUGGAGUCUGCAACUCGACUCCAUGAAGUUGGAAUCGCUAGUAAUCGUGGAUCAGCAUGCCACGGUGAAUACGUUCCCGGGCCUU